AUUGAACGCAGGCGGCAGGCCUAACACAUGCAAGUCGAGCGGAUGAAGGGAGCUUGCUCCUGGAUUCAGCGGCGGACGGGUGAGUAAUGCCUAGGAAUCUGCCUGGUAGUGGGGGAUAACGUCCGGAAACGGGCGCUAAUACCGCAUACGUCCUGAGGGAGAAAGUGGGGGAUCUUCGGACCUCACGCUAUCAGAUGAGCCUAGGUCGGAUUAGCUAGUUGGUGGGGUAAAGGCCUACCAAGGCGACGAUCCGUAACUGGUCUGAGAGGAUGAUCAGUCACACUGGAACUGAGACACGGUCCAGACUCCUACGGGAGGCAGCAGUGGGGAAUAUUGGACAAAGGGCGAAAGCCUGAUCCAGCCAUGCCGCGUGUGUGAAGAAGGUCUUCGGAUUGUAAAGCACUUUAAGUUGGGAGGAAGGGCAGUAAGUUAAUACCUUGCUGUUUUGACGUUACCAACAGAAUAAGCACCGGCUAACUUCGUG
rnacentral:rRNA from 1 species